UAAAACCCUAAUUUAACAAAUCUCAAAUUACAUUCAAAAUUUCCCUACAAUUAACAUGGCCGGAACCCUAACUAACUCCGCCGGAGUAACCUCUUUCCGGUUCUUCAACAACCACCGCUCGUAUCAUAUGUUUUUAAUUUCCUUUUAGGUAUUCCCAUCUUUUUUUUAGCACAAAGGCAUCCCUUGGAAACCUGAAGAUGAGCGAUGAUAGCCUUCAUAGCAGCCAUAUGUAUUUCUGGGCAUGUGACAUGAGAAAUCCUGAUGGUAGCUCGUUUGUGGAGUUGGUUUUCAGUUCGUUCAGUGCUGACGAUGAGGACUACGCUGGGUUUGAUUAUAGCCUUAUUGGAUAGCUUUCUGAAGUACGGUUGGUGUACUUGAAUCGAUUUAUUCAGGAGGUAAGGCCGUGGGGUAUGGUGGGGCUUGGGUUGGGGCAUUUGUUGACACGUGGAAUGGGAGCCCCCACCACUCAAACCCACGCCCAUGGGGUAUGGUGGGGCUUGGGUUGGGCUUGGGUUGGGGCAUUUGUUGACACGUGGAAUGGGAGCCCCCACCACUCAAACCCACACCCAUGGGAUAUGGUGGGGCUUGGGUUGGGGGCAUGAGUUUGGUUUGGCCAUUGAGAGCCUGCCAUGUCACUUACUAGCCCGCCCUACGCCCGGCUUCAAACCCACGCCAAUGGGGCCACGCCCAAACCCACGCCCCAACCCAAGCCCCCGGAGUGAUGGCUUGGGCGUUUUCAGCCAACCCACGCCCUAACCCAAGCCCCAUACCCAUGGUCUAAGACAUAAGUCUUCUCUUAUUUUUACGUCUGCUCUCCUUUUGCCAUUUCUUAGCUUAGUGUUGUGAUGCUUUUAGAUUAUAAGUUACUUCAUGGGCCUUGUUCCUACCAACUCAGUGGUAUUAACAGUUCAAUCAAGGUAUUAACGGUUUCAGUUUACACUGCUGCUAUAUUGUUGAAGGUUUCGGUUAAUUUUAUAUGAUGUGUAUUUACUAUUUUACCACUGAUUCAGAUCAUCUUUUUGUUGUUUUCUUUGAUCUUUAAGAAUCUUGAUUUUUUUCUGGUGGGAAAUGUUUUGUUGA